UAUUAGCCCGUGAUAAUCUUGGAGAAUUUUGACGAAAAUACCCUUCCCAACUAAAACGUAGAGAUUUUAUGGUUUCUCUUCUUUUUUUUCUCGUCCUUCCUUCUAUGCAUACAAAUCAAUUCAAUCAAUGCAAACAAACUGGAGAAGAUUAGCGAUUGUUAAUUAGAUUGAAAAACGGAAGCAAAGAAAUCUACAUAUUCUUCUUUCUUUGUUAUUGGAAAUCAUUGAUCGAAGGUAUUUGCUAUUCGUAUACAAUUGAUUUGUGUUUGAGGUUUGUUUUAUUUGGUUUAAUUCACUGUCUUAAUUUUGUUUAAUACAUCAUAUCCUUUGUUAGAUUUGUUGUUGUUUAUGAUUAAUUCUGAGUUCAUAAGUAUGGUUUUUUGUUUCAAUUCUGCCAAGAUAUCUUGUUUAGACAUCUCAAAUAUUCCAUUUAAUCAACUGCUUGAUCCAUUCAGUUUGUCUCUGAUCUUAUGUUCAAAGAUCUAUUUAAGGUAUUUUAACUCUAUCUCGCUAUUUUAUGUUCUCAAAAAUUAAUUACGAUUUCAACAAAAGCAAUUUCAAAUUCCACCAAUUCCAUUGAAAGAAUUGUUUUGUUUGCUUAGUCACAAUGUUAUUUGUGUCCAAGAACUGUUAGACCUUUAACUUUGAAAAUUUGAAUUUGGAGAACAAUAAUAUGUUUUUUCUACUAUUUCUAAAGGAAUUCAAAAAUUGGGGAAGAUUAGUCUGCUCUUGUUGUCUGAAUAGGUGAAAAUUUUAGCUAUGAGUAAUGGAAGGAUAACUAUAAAGUACCCAUUAAAGAUUAAAGUUCUUUGAAUUUGGGACAUAUGGUGAAAAUAAUUGCCUGGAUUUAAAGUGUAAUUGUUGCAAAUACUAGAGUAGCCAAACUUUAAAGUGAGUGUGAUUAAUAAGGAAUUCCUAAUAACCAGUUCUAUUUAAUGGACAUUGGGAGUUGUCAGAAUUACAAUGGGAAAAUUUGGGAUGGGGAUGUAACGACUCAUGUCACUCACUAUAGUGAGAUGGUAUACACCUUAGGCUAGCGUCUGACGAGUAUUCGCACACUUAUUAAGUUAUGGAUUAUUUUAAUGAAAAAAGUUUAUAAUCUAUUAAUCUUUAUAAUCAUUAUACAACCAUAUAUGAUUUAGUGUUGAAACGCACACUGCCUCUUUAUAAGUUUACCAAAUUUUCUUUGAUAUGGAGAUCAAAAUUGAUUGCACGUGUUUCAUGUGCUACUUCUCAGUUGAUUUGAAAAAAGUUGGUGGAUUACUUGCCAAACUUCCAAACAAUGAUGAGACAUGAUGUUAUUAGAGAGUUUAUUUCAAGUUGGCGAAUUUCUUUUGCAGGUGGUUUUGUUGACUUGGAAUGAUAUAUUUUACCUAUGACAAUGUUAUGGUUGAUAUGGGGAGUGUGGAAUAAUAUCAUCUAGUGAAGGCAACUUUGCAUUGAGGUCAGUAGUAAGGACUGUCAAGUGUGCUGUAUGGGCAUGGCUGCAGAUGACUCUUCAAUGUGAACAAAUCAGAAUUAGUGAGCCUAGAAUUAAAGACUUGCUUUGUACUUGGAUGACCAUAUAUGUGGAGACUCCACAAUCUCCAGUGAUGUUGUGAUGGUGCAAAUGGUAAAGGCAGUGCAGAUUUAUGCUGUAGAACUCCUUUUUGCUUCAGUGAUGACUACUAGACUAACUAAGUGAGACUGCAACAUGUUGUGGGUGAUAGUACACUGUAUGGUGUUGUUGCUAUUUUGUUUGUGUUGUGGUUGUUGUGGGGGCAAUAGUAUUGUGGCCAUUAUUGAUGUUAUGUACUGCUGAACAAGAGCAUUAGUACACUGCAGAGUGUUAUCAUUGUUUCAUCUUGUGGUGUUGUAAUGACUAUUUCAUAGGUAAUAUAUGAAGGAUCCAGGAACACUGCCAACAAAAAGACGAUGAUUAAUGUCCAUUGAUAAUGAUUUCACGAGUAUAUAAAGGUGUGGAAACACGAGUGGAUUGUUAAUGAUUUCACUAUCAUCAUUCCCAAAAUUCAAGUUAAAAGGAAGGAAGUCGUCUUUGUUUGCUAAUUCAUUUGACAUCAUUGCCAAUCAAUCUCUUUUCAUGAAUGCAUUCCAUAAUCAUGGUGUAUGUAAAUUCAAUGAGCAUUACUGCUUUGUGUAUAAAAAUAUCAAUGUUAAUUUCUUAA
rnacentral:lncRNA from 1 species